rnacentral:tRNA from 1 species
GCAUCCAUAGCUGAAUAAGUAAAGUGCCCAACUGAUAAUUGGUAAGUUCGUAGGUUCAAUUCCUAUUUGGUUAUGCA